rnacentral:lncRNA from 1 species
UAAAUUACUGACAUUUUUAAAAAAUAUUGCUAUAUGUGGGGUCGCUAAGUAUAUAAUAACAGUUAAAGAGUGUCACUAUAGUCUAAAAAGAGUGCUAUUAAUUUAUCAAUACUUAUUUAAGUAUUUAGCAAUCGCUGGAACUCUAUUUCGUUGGCUGCGGUGGCGGAGGAGGACGAGAGGGAAAGGCUAUUCGUCUAGAAUUUCAGUAGAUUAAGUGAGGGGAGACGGAGAGAAGGUAAUCGAUUUUUCUUUUUUUUUUCUUUUCUGUUUGUAAUCAGGCCGAAUAGGCUGGGUGAGGUGGGUUGAGUAGAAUAACCUUUUAUUUUUUGUUGGAUUGGGCUUUAUAUUUAGACAUUAGUAGAUAUUUUUUAAAAGUUUUGGUAUAAAUGAGACACUUACAUAAAAGUGUCCAAAAUAUGUGUUCCUAUAAUUUAAUUUUGUUGUAGUGUUUCAAGCCUAAAAUUUUAUAAAUUUUUAAAAAGAUUAAAAU